rnacentral:rRNA from 1 species
GAUGAACGCUGGCGGCGUGCCUAAUACAUGCAAGUCGAGCGAACGGACGAGAAGCUUGCUUCUCUGAUGUUAGCGGCGGACGGGUGAGUAACACGUGGAUAACCUACCUAUAAGACUGGGAUAACUUCGGGAAACCGGAGCUAAUACCGUAUAACAUGUUGAACCGCAUGGUUCAACAGUGAAAGACGGUCUUGCUGUCACUUAUAGAUGGAUCCGCGCCGCAUUAGCUAGUUGGUAAGGUAACGGCUUACCAAGGCAACGAUGCGUAGCCGACCUGAGAGGGUGAUCGGCCACACUGGAACUGAGACACGGUCCAGACCCCUACGGGAGGCAGCAGUAGGGAAUCUUCCGCAAUGGGCGAAAGCCUGACGGAGCAACGCCGCGUGAGUGAAGAAGGUCUUCGGAUCGUAAAACUCUGUUAUUAGGGAAGAACAAAUGUGUAAGUAACUAUGCACGUCUUGACGGUACCUAAUCAGAAAGCCACGGCUAACUACGUGCCAGCAGCCGCGGUAAUACGUAGGUGGCGAGCGUUAUCCGGAAUUAUUGGGCGUAAAGCGCGCGUAGGCGGUUUUUUAAGUCUGAUGUGAAAGCCCACGGCUCAACCGUGGAGGGUCAUUGGAAACUGGAAAACUUGAGUGCAGAAGAGGAAAGUGGAAUUCCAUGUGUAGCGGUGAAAUGCGCAGAGAUAUGGAGGAACACCAGUGGCGAAGGCGACUUUCUGGUCUGUAACUGACGCUGAUGUGCGAAAGCGUGGGGAUCAAACAGGAUUAGAUACCCUGGUAGUCCACGCCGUAAACGAUGAGUGCUAAGUGUUAGGGGGUUUCCGCCCCUUAGUGCUGCAGCUAACGCAUUAAGCACUCCGCCUGGGGAGUACGACCGCAAGGUUGAAACUCGAAGGAAUUGACGGGGACCCGCACAAGCGGUGGAGCAUGUGGUUUAAUUCGAAGCAACGUGAAGAACCUUACCAAAUCUUGACAUCCUCUGACCCCUCUAGAGAUAGAGUUUUCCCCUUCGGGGGACAGAGUGACAGGUGGUGCAUGGUUGUCGUCAGCUCGUGUCGUGAGAUGUUGGGUUAAGUCCCGCAACGAGCGCAACCCUUAAGCUUAGUUGCCAUCAUUAAGUUGGGCACUCUAAGUUGACUGCCGGUGACAAACCGGAGGAAGGUGGGGAUGACGUCAAAUCAUCAUGCCCCUUAUGAUUUGGGCUACACACGUGCUACAAUGGACAAUACAAAGGGUAGCGAAACCGCGAGGUCAAGCAAAUCCCAUAAAGUUGUUCUCAGUUCGGAUUGUAGUCUGCAACUCGACUACAUGAAGCUGGAAUCGCUAGUAAUCGUAGAUCAGCAUGCUACGGUGAAUACGUUCCCGGGUCU